ACAAAAUCACAAACUUAUAAAAAAAUAAAAGUCAAACUAAUCUCAAAUGUUUGGGCUUAUCUGGAGGGACUGUGUGCAAUGGAUAUUUACUUCGGAUACCUAUAUUGUUGUUUAGCAAUGUGUGAGCGAAGUCCACAUAACACAACCAAAACGGUUGACGAAGAAUUGAGAUUUGCCGAUUGAACAAUGAGGACAACAAGGUCAAAUACAGCGGGGAGCGUUGAGCUGCAGAGUCUGACUGCGAAUCCACGGAAAAGCAGACUGAGAUCUGCCACUGAUUCUGCAGUCGUACAUGUGAAAAUGAAAGCAAAGAAACCAAUGAUUUCAUCUGUUAAUCCUCGCUCCAAAUCCUCAAAACCAGGGAAGAACUCAGUAACUUCAGAGACAAAAGAUAGCCAAUCAGGCGAAGGCAUAAGAAAAGCUAAAAUUCUAUCAUCUGAUGGUCUAGUCAUGAAACUGCAACCAGAAGCAAUGCACAACUUAA